ensembl:lncRNA
CACACACACACACACACACACACACACACACACACACACACACACACACACAAGUAUGUAUGUACUUAUUGAUGUGCCUUUGUGUGUGUGUGUACCUAUUGUGGCAGACUGCAGAGAGGAGUGAGGUGAGUGGUAGGUCUGGCAACCUGCUGGCUCCACCCCCAAGCCAUACAUGGACUUCUUCCCCUUAACGAGGCAGGCCUGAAGGUCAUUAAGUGGGGGUGCUUGCAGGUGAAAGGCAGAGCAGGCUACCACAAGGGGAAGCGAGGGCUGUGUGAACCAGGAAGGCUAGCAUACCACAGGCAGGAUCUGUGGUGUUGCCUGGAAGCGCGGUACGGCCUUAGAGAAAGAGAUAGGUGGAAAGUGUUGGACUGAUUACGGACGGUAUCCUAGAGGAGGUGGAUGACCCUUUCCCACCCUGGGGGUUUAGUUUACUAGGUAAAUAAACCAUCCCUCUGAACUGCUCUCUGUGUGUUGUGUCUAUCUGUCCAACUUGGUGGAGUGGAAACCCCACUACCACAGGCCCGCUACCCUAUUUAUAUACCUGCCUAUAUAGCAUGCACCUAUGCAUGUGUGUGUGCGCGUGUAAGCGAAGAACACAAACAAAUGUUUUGCUGUCAACUAAAGAAUCGAAAAGCUGCACGCCCGCUGACUCACCACCUCGCCACCACAGAAGAGGAAGAGACUUUCACUUUGAGACGCUGGGAAAAAUUGAAAAUGAACGCCACACACACCGUGGAGCAACAAUAGCAUCAAGGACGGCUGCUGUUUGUGCGGCAAACCGCACACCUGACAGGAACCAACACGCGUGGGAGGAAGAGGAGGAGGAGGAGGAGGAGGAAGGUGGUAGUGGAAUAAAACCCCAACAAGCACGCGGUCUCUCGGAGGGACCCUUCCAAGACAAACAACAACAAACAAGACAGGCGCUUGCCUAUUCAUGACUAUGAUCUAUGGACACCGUUGUAAGUGUGAGCCCCAUACAAAUAUG